rnacentral:rRNA from 1 species
ACACGACUACAUUAGAUACCCCCGUAGUCCCAGCCCUAAACGAUGCGCGUUAGGUGUAUCGGUGACCACGAGUCACCGAGGUGCCGAAGGGAAACCGUGAAACGUGCCGCCUGGGAAGUACGGUCGCAAGGCUGAAACUCAAAGGAAUUGGCGGGGAGCACCACAACGGGUGGAGCCUGCGGUUUAAUUGGACUCAACGCCGGGAAGCUCACCGGAUAAGACAGCGGAAUGAUUGCCGGGCUGAAGACCCUGCAUGACCAGCUG